rnacentral:lncRNA from 1 species
AGAAGAUUUCUACUCCCAGCACAUCUUGUCUUCUGGCUUCGUUGCACCAAGGAAGGCUGCGUGCCUUAACCAUCAUCAGAGCAGGGAUGUGGCCCAGGCAGCCACUUCAAGGGGUAUCCUGUUGAGCAAGGACUCGAUGAGUCCCGAAAGCAGCAACCAAAGUGGAAAGGAUCUUAAGAGGAAAACAGCAGGUCACCCAGGAGACUGACCGGGCCCCGAUUCUGAAGACAUUCUGCAGGGGGAGCUAAUGGCAACUUGGGGCAAGUCUGAUUCUCACUCAGAACUGGUCCCAAACCCCCAUCCUCAUGUCGAGCCAAGACUAAACUCCCACAAGGAUGUCUGCCAGGGGAGAAGGGGCUAGUGAAGAAUCCCUGGACUGACCAUGGUGGCUACAGCUACAAAGGCUCCUGUGGGAAACUGGAUUGUCAAGCAGGGGAGGAAGAAAGGAACCAACUCUGUUGAGUGCUUGCUUAUUUAGGAAGCUCUGUGCUGGACUCAAUUUUUGCUGUCGUCUUUAG